rnacentral:rRNA from 1 species
GCCCUUAGAGUUUGAUCCUGGCUCAGAUUGAACGCUGGCGGCAUGCCUAACACAUGCAAGUCGAACGCGAAAGCCUUCGGGUGAGUAGAGUGGCGGACGGGUGAGUAACGCGUGGGAAUCUGCCCUGCAGUGGGGAACAACCCGGGGAAACUCGGGCUAAUACCGCAUACGUCCUAAGGGAGAAAGGGGGCCUUCGGGCUCUCGCUGCAGGAUGAGCCCACGUCCGAUUAGCUAGUUGGUGAGGUAACGGCCCACCAAGGUCACGAUCGGUAGCUGGUCUGAGAGGAUGGCCAGCCACACUGGGACUGAGACACGGUCCCAGACUCCUACGGUCAGGCAUCAUUGCGGAAUAUUGCUACAAUGGGCGAAAGCCUGAUCCAAAUGCCGCGUGUGUGAAGAAGGCCUGCGUGCUGUAAAGUACUUUCCGUG